UACAGAGGUCUCAAGCGUUGUUCGGAUUCAUUGGGCGUAAAGGGUGCGUAGGCGGCGCGGUAAGUCGGGUGUGAAAUCUCGGGGCUUAACUCCGAAACUGCAUUCGAUACUGCCGUGCUUGAGGACUGGAGAGGAGACUGGAAUUUACGGUGUAGCGGUGAAAUGCGUAGAUAUCGUAAGGAAGACCGUGGCGAAGGCGGGUCUCUGGACAGUUCCUACGCUGAGGCACGAAGGCCAGGGGGAGCAAACGGG
rnacentral:rRNA from 1 species